AAAUUGAAGAGUUUGAUCAUGGCUCAGAUUGAACGCUGGCGGCAGGCCUAACACAUGCAAGUCGAGCGGCAGCGGAAAGAGCUUGCUCUUUGCCGGCGAGCGGCGGACGGGUGAGUAAUGUCUGGGAAACUGCCUGAUGGAGGGGGAUAACUACUGGAAACGGUAGCUAAUACCGCAUAACGUCGCAAGACCAAAGAGGGGGACCUUCGGGCCUCUUGCCAUCAGAUGUGCCCAGAUGGGAUUAGCUAGUAGGUGGGGUAACGGCUCACCUAGGCGACGAUCCCUAGCUGGUCUGAGAGGAUGACCAGCCACACUGGAACUGAGACACGGUCCAGACUCCUACGGGAGGCAGCAGUGGGGAAUAUUGCACAAUGGGCGCAAGCCUGAUGCAGCCA
rnacentral:rRNA from 1 species